rnacentral:rRNA from 1 species
ACACUAUCAUUAACUGAAUCCAUAGGUUAAUGAGGCGAACCGGGGGAACUGAAACAUCUAAGUACCCCGAGGAAAAGAAAUCAACCGAGAUUCCCCCAGUAGCGGCGAGCGAACGGGGAGCAGCCCAGAGCCUGAAUCAGUGUGUGUGUUAGUGGAAGCGUCUGGAAAGGCGCGCGAUACAGGGUGACAGCCCCGUACACAAAAAUGCACAUGCUGUGAGCUCGAUGAGUAGGGCGGGACACGUGGUAUCCUGUCUGAAUAUGGGGGGACCAUCCUCCAAGGCUAAAUACUCCUGACUGACCGAUAGUGAACCAGUACCGUGAGGGAAAGGCGAAAAGAACCCCGGCGAGGGGAGUGAAAAAGAACCUGAAACCGUGUACGUACAAGCAGUGGGAGCCUCUUUUAUGGGGUGACUGCGUACCUUUUGUAUAAUGGGUCAGCGACUUAUAUUCUGUAGCAAGGUUAACCGAAUAGGGGAGCCGAAGGGAAACCGAGUCUUAACUGGGCGUUAAGUUGCAGGGUAUAGACCCGAAACCCGGUGAUCUAGCCAUGGGCAGGUUGAAGGUUGGGUAACACUAACUGGAGGACCGAACCGACUAAUGUUGAAAAAUUAGCGGAUGACUUGUGGCUGGGGGUGAAAGGCCAAUCAAACCGGGAGAUAGCUGGUUCUCCCCGAAAGCUAUUUAGGUAGCGCCUCGUGAAUUCAUCUCCGGGGGUAGAGCACUGUUUCGGCAAGGGGGUCAUCCCGACUUACCAACCCGAUGCAAACUGCGAAUACCGGAGAAUGUUAUCACGGGAGACACACGGCGGGUGCUAACGUCCGUCGUGAAGAGGGAAACAACCCAGACCGCCAGCUAAGGUCCCAAAGUCAUGGUUAAGUGGGAAACGAUGUGGGAAGGCCCAGACAGCCAGGAUGUUGGCUUAGAAGCAGCCAUCAUUUAAAGAAAGCGUAAUAGCUCACUGGUCGAGUCGGCCUGCGCGGAAGAUGUAACGGGGCUAAACCAUGCACCGAAGCUGCGGCAGCGACACUAUGUGUUGUUGGGUAGGGGAGCGUUCUGUAAGCCUGUGAAGGUGUGCUGUGAGGCAUGCUGGAGGUAUCAGAAGUGCGAAUGCUGACAUAAGUAACGAUAAAGCGGGUGAAAAGCCCGCUCGCCGGAAGACCAAGGGUUCCUGUCCAACGUUAAUCGGGGCAGGGUGAGUCGACCCCUAAGGCGAGGCCGAAAGGCGUAGUCGAUGGGAAACAGGUUAAUAUUCCUGUACUUGGUGUUACUGCGAAGGGGGGACGGAGAAGGCUAUGUUGGCCGGGCGACGGUUGUCCCGGUUUAAGCGUGUAGGCUGGUUUUCCAGGCAAAUCCGGAAAAUCAAGGCUGAGGCGUGAUGACGAGGCACUACGGUGCUGAAGCAACAAAUGCCCUGCUUCCAGGAAAAGCCUCUAAGCAUCAGGUAACAUCAAAUCGUACCCCAAACCGACACAGGUGGUCAGGUAGAGAAUACCAAGGCGCUUGAGAGAACUCGGGUGAAGGAACUAGGCAAAAUGGUGCCGUAACUUCGGGAGAAGGCACGCUGAUAUGUAGGUGAAGUCCCUCGCGGAUGGAGCUGAAAUCAGUCGAAGAUACCAGCUGGCUGCAACUGUUUAUUAAAAACACAGCACUGUGCAAACACGAAAGUGGACGUAUACGGUGUGACGCCUGCCCGGUGCCGGAAGGUUAAUUGAUGGGGUCAGCGCAAGCGAAGCUCUUGAUCGAAGCCCCGGUAAACGGCGGCCGUAACUAUAACGGUCCUAAGGUAGCGAAAUUCCUUGUCGGGUAAGUUCCGACCUGCACGAAUGGCGUAAUGAUGGCCAGGCUGUCUCCACCCGAGACUCAGUGAAAUUGAACUCGCUGUGAAGAUGCAGUGUACCCGCGGCAAGACGGAAAGACCCCGUGAACCUUUACUAUAGCUUGACACUGAACAUUGAGCCUUGAUGUGUAGGAUAGGUGGGAGGCUUUGAAGUGUGGACGCCAGUCUGCAUGGAGCCGACCUUGAAAUACCACCCUUUAAUGUUUGAUGUUCUAACGUUGACCCGUGAUCCGGGUUGCGGACAGUGUCUGGUGGGUAGUUUGACUGGGGCGGUCUCCUCCUAAAGAGUAACGGAGGAGCACGAAGGUUGGCUAAUCCUGGUCGGACAUCAGGAGGUUAGUGCAAUGGCAUAAGCCAGCUUGACUGCGAGCGUGACGGCGCGAGCAGGUGCGAAAGCAGGUCAUAGUGAUCCGGUGGUUCUGAAUGGAAGGGCCAUCGCUCAACGGAUAAAAGGUACUCCGGGGAUAACAGGCUGAUACCGCCCAAGAGUUCAUAUCGACGGCGGUGUUUGGCACCUCGAUGUCGGCUCAUCACAUCCUGGGGCUGAAGUAGGUCCCAAGGGUAUGGCUGUUCGCCAUUUAAAGUGGUACGCGAGCUGGGUUUAGAACGUCGUGAGACAGUUCGGUCCCUAUCUGCCGUGGGCGCUGGAGAACUGAGGGGGGCUGCUCCUAGUACGAGAGGACCGGAGUGGACGCAUCACUGGUGUUCGGGUUGUCAUGCCAAUGGCACUGCCCGGUAGCUAAAUGCGGAAGAGAUAAGUGCUGAAAGCAUCUAAGCACGAAACUUGCCCCGAGAUGAGUUCUCCCUGACCCUUUAAGGGUCCUGAAGGAACGUUGAAGACGACGACGUUGAUAGGCCGGGUGUGUAAGCGCAGCGAUGCGUUGAGCUAACCGGUACUAAUGAACCGUGAGGCUUAACCUU